rnacentral:rRNA from 1 species
CAGUCGCCGCGGGAAUACAGAGGGUGCGAGCGUUAAUCGGAUUUACUGGGCGUAAAGCGUGCGUAGGCGGCUUCUUAAGUCGGAUGUGAAAUCCCUGAGCUUAACUUAGGAAUUGCAUUCGAUACUGGGAAGCUAGAGUAUGGGAGAGGAUGGUAGAAUUCCAGGUGUAGCGGUGAAAUGCGUAGAGAUCUGGAGGAAUACCGAUGGCGAAGGCAGCCAUCUGGCCUAAUACUGACGUUGAGGUACGAAAGCAUGGGGAGCAAACAGGAUUAGAUACCCCCGUAGUCCCUGUCUCUUAUAA